GUCAGUGCUCUCUGCUGGAAUGUGAAAUUGUGUUCGGUAGUUCGUUUGCGAGUUACGUUUUUUACGUUUACGACGCGUGAAGUAAGCAAAAAAGAAAUGAUAAUUUCGAUAGGAUAAAAUAAAAGAAGUUUACGAAACAUAAAUCAGAACCAGUACUUCCGGAAGAAUAGAGAAAAGCUAGCAGGAAUAUCUCCCAUAAAACGAAAUCAAAAAUUAAACCAGUCAGUUUAUGAAUGAUAAUUGUGAAUCCUUUAAAAAAAUAUUUUUUUAAGAAAGAAAAAUUGACUUGAAAUUUCGAUACGAAACGCAAGUGAGCUUUGUUUUGUAAGUGACCCAUAAAAAGCAAAUAAAGUUCGAAACAUUAAAAAGAAUAAAAUAACGAAGAUUUUUUGUUGUGAAAUUGAAUCUUUUAUACAACAAAGGAUAAAAAAAACUCCUUGGCUGCACACACAGAGUAACAGCAAGAACAAUAACAUCAACAACAUAAAUAAGCAAUUACGUGAGCCAAACGUGAUUCGUAAAAAACGUGAUUUUCCGAAACGACAAACGCGAAGCUAAAAACGACCUAAAACGAAGGAGGAGGCAAAAAAACAGAUCCAACAAUACGAAAGAAGAAAAGCGACAACAACAAAUAACGAGAAAAAAAACACAAAAAGUAGAGAACAAAACAAAAGCCAGCCCAAAAACAUAAACAAACAAAAUAAAGAAUAACAAAAAAACAAAAGCUAAACACAAACACUGCAUCACAUAGGACAACAGCAACCCAAGGGCAGUGCAUUGUCAAAAUUUGUCUUUCCUAAAGUGAAACAUCACAAAGCUAACAUAACAGCUUUUGCAAAAACCCAACAAAAACAACAACACAUAAAAGCAUUUGGAGGCAUCAACAAUUGGCGAUUUUUUUUGGACAUACAUCCGCAUUAUGAUUUUUGAAAAUUCAGCAGAUGUUUGCGUGGAACUUUGAGUGAAAAAGAAAUGAAUUCAGUAAAGCAUCAUCGAAUUGGAGUAUUUCUAUCUCCAUAAAUUAAAUAAAAAAUAAAAAAACAACAAACAAAAAAAAGCAAAAAUUUAAUAAAAAAAAAAAAUCCA
rnacentral:sRNA from 1 species